rnacentral:rRNA from 1 species
GACGAACGCUGGCGGCGUGCCUAAUACAUGCAAGUCGAACGCAGUGGGGACGGGUGAGUAAACCGUGGGUAACCUCCCAUCAGAGGGGAUAACACGUGGAAACAGGUGCUAAACCGCUACUGAUGGAUGGACUCGCGGUGCAUUAGGUAGUUGGUGUGGUAACGGCUCACCAAGGCCACGAUGCAUAGCCGACCUUGGAGGGUGAUCGGCCACAGGGGGACUGAGACACGACCCAGACUCCUACGGGAGGCAGCAGUAGGGAAUCUUCGGCAAUGGGCGAAAGUCUGACCGAGCAACGCCGCGUGAGUGAAGAAGGUUUUCGGAUCGUAAAACUCUGUUGUUAGAGAAGCGGUAUCUAACCAGAAAGCCACGGCUAACUACGUGCCAGCAGCCGCGGUAAUUC